UGGCCACCUUCCAUGCGAUGGAACAACGUAGCUGAGUUGUGGGCUGACUUUGGCUUGCUUCACCACCCUGAACCAGACUGCAUCUGCGGUCAUCUGGAACAGACUACAGGCCUGAACUGAUAAAGGAUGCUGUGGAAACGUGGAUCUCUGGGGCCUUGGCAAGAUGCUUUUGCUGUAUCCUGUCUCUUUAUUGCCUGGUCCUCUGGAAGACAAAAGAGUGAGAAUCAGCGGUGUGUGGUUAUCCUGCAAACAGUUUGAGAACUGCUUUGACAGCCAGUGAUGUGGCCACAGCAAGCGCAUGCUCUAACAAUUUACAAUUGCGCUAUGAUCCCAAUGAGGAGUGAUGCUUGAACCUCCCUCCGAUUACCUGUGUCCUUUUCUUUUGCUGUAACAAUGUUGUUUCUUUCCAACACACAAGUGUUCAUGCAGAAAUGCCAAGAUUCUCCAUGCAGAUUAAAGUAGGUUUGCAAAUUAAGGAAAGGCUGGAAUGGAACAAAAGGAAAAUGAAAUUAUCCCAGCAGUUUUGCACUUCCUUGUAAUCAAAGUCCUGUCUUUGGCAGGUGUUACGUUACACAUGAAUUUUCCUUGUGUAAAGACUGCAGGAGCUAGCCCUAGCAAAUCACACUGUUCUAAAAAUGGUGGCCAGUAAGCAAUAGGUGGGCUCUCUUGGGGAAAAAACAGGAAGAAAACUUGGUGAGAGCUUGAUCCUCUGCGGUGUCACCUUUCACAAUUGAGUGACUGACAGACAAAAGAGAAGUGAGCUAAAUCACCGGGAGGAUGGAUGCCUUCUGUUGUGGAAUAGAACGAAAUCCAGUGACAUGCUCCCUCCCAUUAGAUCUGAUACGACUGCUGUAUGAUAAAGAUUAAUUUCUAGAAAUCAACCGUAAACCUAUAGGUCAGCCAAUAAGACAGUGACUUGACAGAUUUUUAAUUGCAAAGUGUAUGAUAGUUUCAUGUCUCUAAUCUGCAUCACUGCAGACAGUGUAUUGUUGAAUCCAAUGAAGUCUGAAUCCCACUAUGAAUUUAAUUGUUUUCCACAAGCAGAUUAUGAACAGAAACCGUUGAUUGCUAUUAAUUAUGUAUCUUUGAGUGAAAAGCUAUUGUGUGUGUAUAUAUAUAUUUAAUAACAGGAGAUGUAAAAAACAUUUAUUUUUAUUUAAUAAAACAGAUAAACCUA